GGAGAGAGAUCAGUUUCAAUAUUAAGAAAUGAAUGUCACACCACUCACCAAUAUAUUUCGUGAUCCACAAACAAAUGUAAUAACAUUCGCAAAUAUAAUUCAUACAUUUCAUGAUCCACAAACAAAUGUAACAACAUUCACAAAUAUAAUUCAUGAUGCACAAAUGAAUGUAACCCCAUUCACAAAUGCCAGCGCAGUUCUAUUCAUUUGCAAACCGGUCUACAUAUAUUCGCAAACCCUAUACAUAUUUAUGACUUCCAUUGUAUUUGUGUGUGGAUUUUUGAGACUGUCCUGACGGUAUUUGACACACAAAUGUGCUCAGCCAAUCACAUCAGCCGGCGUUCGAGCGUAAGGUUGAAGACAUUGCGCUUCUAUUACGCAGAGAAGGUUACUAGUGCGAAGCCACCAUAGAUCUGUAUAGAACUACACCGAUCCGAGGAAAUAACCGGAAGUAGAGUCAUUACUGAAGUGCUCCAUGACGUAAACUCGGAAGCGUAUGAAGUUACUGACUUUCACAUCAUCUUUGUACAAAUAUGUCUGGAUCUGGACUAACGUGUGCUGUAAUCGGAUGUCACAAUAACAGCAGAAAGCUAAAAAUGUGGAAAAAGAGCGUAUGUGCGCUUCAUAGUCCACAGUUUAAAGAGGAUUGUCCUUGUUGUGUGCCCUACGGUGUACACCGCUUCCCCGGCCGUGCUGAGGAUGAAGACAUUCGCAAGAUGUGGAUUAAAAACGUACACCGAAAGGACUUUGCCCCCAAACAAGUAUUCAACGGUGUGUGGAGUACACUUCCCUGACGGCAGACCAACGCAGGAACACCCAUAUCCCAUAAUAUGGGAUAUGAAUAUAGUAAAGCACCAUCAUGUGGAAGACCACCCCCUAAGAGGAGAUGUCUCCAGCCCCCAACAGAGAGACUUGGAUUAAUGUUGAGAGGAUUAUUGUUCAAUACGGUGUAGAAACACUUGGUUCAGUUAUAUGUAGAUAUCUAUCAUCUUUCAAGAAAUCCUUCAUCCCCUCAGCUGUGACCAUACUGAACAAGAGAUGAACUGUCCAGCUGCAGCAUGCAUGUAUUGUGUGGUCUUGUCUUUUUUUUUUUGGUCAAGCCUUGUCUAAUGUCUGUGAGAAUCACUGAAGCCACGCCAAAGACAAUUUUCUGUUUCAUGGGUGUAACACAGUGUUUCGCAACCUUUUUUUAGGCGAGGCACCCUUUCAGUUCAUGAAAAAUUUCAAGGCACCCCAAACCAACAAGCCAUAACAUGGCAUUGCAUCCCAUACCACACAAGCUUAGAAAAGUAGCACAUUUGGAGAGGUCACACGACCUACGUUCGAAGUUGCAGCUGACUAGGGCGACCUAUAUUUACUUUAUUGUGUGUAAAUGGCAAAUGAAAGAUUCCACUGACUAGCAUUAACUUAUGCAAUAUAAUACAUAUUUGUCUAAAUUGAUUAUUUAUUUAUCAGCCACGUUUCCGUGGCACCCUUGGGGGUGGCCCGCGGCACCCCAGGGUGCCCCGGCACCCCUGUUGAGAAACACUGGUGUAACAGACAAUAAAGUUGUAUCUAAUCUAAUCAUA